AGAGUUUGAUCAUGGCUCAGGAUGAACGCUAGCGGCAGGCCUAAUACAUGCAAGUCGAACGGUAACAUGAGUAGCAAUACUUGAUGACGAGUGGCGCACGGGUGCGUAACGCGUAUGCAAUCUACCUUUAACUGGUGAAUAGCCCGAAGAAAUUCGGAUUAAUACACCAUAGUAUAGUUGAGUGGCAUCACUUAACUCUUAAAACUCCGGUGGUUAAAGAUGAGCAUGCGUGACAUUAGCUAGUUGGUGAGGUAACGGCUCACCAAGGCUACGAUGUCUAGGGGAUCUGAGAGGAUUAACCCCCACACUGGUACUGAGACAGGGACCAGACUCCUACGGGAGGCAGCAGUAAGGAAUAUUGGACAAUGGUCGCAAGACUGAUCCAGCCAUGCCGCGUGAAGGAUGACGGCCCUAUGGGUUGUAAACUUCUUUUGUAUGGGAAAAAACCCCUCUACGUGUAGAGGGCUGAUUGUACCAUAAGAAUAAGGAUCGGCUAACUCCGUGCCAGCAGCCGCGGUA
rnacentral:rRNA from 1 species